GUGUGUGUGUGUGUGUGUGUGUGUGUGUGUGUGUUUUCGUGCAUGCCUCAUCAUCAGGGAUUACCGCAGCCGCCGCAGUGUGCAAAGCAGACCUUUGAAGAUGGCUUUAUUAAUUUUCCAAUGCGAGACAAAAGGAAGGAAACGUAAGGCCCAGAUUUCCAGAGGAGGGAGACGAAGGAGAGGACAGAGUGAAGAGAGAGAAGGCCUGUAUCUUUGAAGAUAAAGAUGACCAAAAAUAGUGUCCCCCAUCUUUUUGUUGGGAAAAUCCAUUCUCCAUGAAACUGAUUGAUCCAAUUCCUUUCGAUCUUGGACAUUUCCAUCAAUGAAUACUGUUCUGAACAACUCUCUCCCACAGCCAGACAACUGAGAUCUGUGCACGCACACACAGGAAGGUCUUUUUUUUCCCUUUAAAGAACUUUUCAAAGUGUGCAUACAAAAACUUUUGAAAGUACUGGAAAGUAAUAGAAAAUUGGAUUAAUCAAGAACAUUUUUUCGAAUCUCUUCGCAAUGACUUACAAAAAGAAAAGUCAUGUCUCUGAAAGAAGUUUGAACCAAUACUAGUACCUUAUUGACAUUUGUUACUUGAAAAAUGAUUUCAACUUUGAGAAACCCCAAGUUAAAUGCUUAUGAUGUCAUGUCAUUUUUUGAAGAUGGAUUAUCAGAUGUGUCUAUUUAAAAUUUACUAGCAGCGUUUUUCAUCUAAUAAAAGGUUUAUUAUGUGCUAA